UUUCGGAAGCAAUGACAGGUG
rnacentral:misc_RNA from 1 species